rnacentral:rRNA from 1 species
AUACGGAGGGUGCAAGCGUUACUCGGAAUCACUGGGCGUAAAGCGCGCGCAGGCGGUCUUUUAAGUUGGAUGUGAAAGCCUACGGCUCAACCGUAGAACUGCAUCCAAAACUAUUAGACUAGAGUGUGGGAGAGGAAGAUGGAAUUAGUUGUGUAGGGGUGAAAUCCGUAGAGAUAACUAGGAAUACCAAAAGCGAAGGCAAUCUUCUGGAACACUACUGACGCUGAGGCGCGAAAGCGUGGGGAGCAAACAGGAUUAGAAACCCUAGUAGUCC